UCCAAAAAAUUAAGGAGAACUAUGUACUCAGCUGUCAUACGCAAAAGUACACACCCACCCCAAUAUGAAAAUAACCUUAACAUAACAGAACUAUUCGAACUCACGAUCGCUAAGACACAAACUGGGAUUAGAUACCCCACUAUGCUUAGCCCUAAACCCAGAUAUUUAACACACAAAAAUAUCCGCCAGAGAACUACGAGCAUAACGCUUAAAACUCUAAGGACUUGGCGGUGCCUUAAACCCCCCUAGAGGAGCCUGUUCUAUAAUCGAUAAUCCACGAUCCACCUCACCAUCUCUUGCCAGUACCGCCUAUAUACCGCCGUCACUAGCCUACCCUAUGAAGGAUAUAAAAGUAAGCAAAACAGCCAACAAUAGCUAAUAAGUCAGGUCAAGGUGUAGCUAACUGAGAUGGAAGAAAUGGGCUACAUUUUCUAAACUAGAAAUUAUCUCACGGAAAGAACCAUGAAACAAGUUCCACAAGCAGGAUUUAGCAGUAAACAAGGAUUAGAAUGCCCAAUUUAAGCCGGUCCUAAGGCACGCACACACCGCCCGUCACCCUCCUCAAAUCAACAUCACCUAUAAAUAAAACCACAACAAAUAAACAGAUGAGGCAAGUCGUAACAAGGUAAGUAUACCGGAAGGUGUACUUGGAACAUU
rnacentral:rRNA from 1 species